GUGGUUUCUGAAUGCUGCAUCUAUAUGCAGUUGAAGGCUGUCUCUUGAAGAUGGCAGUAUUUUGUGUUGUCUGCUUGACUUCUGUUGGUGUUCAAGCCAUGGGUCCUAAUAACUUCUCAAGCGUUUUUUAAAUGUAUAGUUUAGGGAUUUGGUGGUGGUGUUCCAUGUUUGUGAUGGGAAUUAAUGGUGGUGUUAUUUGAUUUGUUAAUAAAGUUCAGAAGUUUUCAAUAUUCGCGCGCCCUGGAAAUUUUUGGUCAUUUGAAGUUUUUUGUUUUUUCCAUUCAAUUACUACCUUGUAUGCUUCGAGAUGUGACAAGAAAAUUUGAGAAAAACCACAGCCUACUUUUGAUUGCUAUAUUAGCGCUCUCAUCGCCUUGAUUGCACUUGCUUAAUAGUGUUCUCUCAUCGCCUUUGAUUGUGCUUCCUAAUGAGAUUUAAUUUCAGUGUUUUGAUGUAUGAUAGUUCGAGCUUGGAAUUUUGGUCAUUUGAAGUUUUUGUUUUUCCCAUUCAUUACCAUCGAUAUGCUCGACAAGAAAUGCAAGUUGGCUCUUGAUUGAUAUUAGCAUUCUCUCAUUGCCUUGAUUGUGCUCGCUUAUGAGAUGUGAUUUCAGCGUUUGGUGUAUGAUAGUUCGGUUUAUUGGUGAGUUGUGAUCCUUUUGGCAGUGUUGUUUAGACUUUAGAGAUGUCUAAUGGUAGAUUACUUGCAAGUAAUCUGCAAAAUUAGUUCCUUUGGGAUUCUGCUUAGUAGAACUAUAGGUUGAUUUUGUUCGUCUAUAACCAAUAAUUGCACUUUGGUUUGCUUUACCACGAGUUAAACGCUUUAUACCUGUGAACUAAACAAACCGAACCUCAAGCUUAGCCUUGAGGAGAAGUUAGAUUAUCAUCAGCUUCCUUUUACAAGAGUACAGUUACAAAGGAUCUCAAAGAUGGACAUCUUGUAUUCGUCUGAGGACUUGGACAAGUUGACCAUAGUAUACCGUUUGAUCCAGUUGAGAUUACCAGGUUGAAGAAGUGGUCGAUACAAAAGCUUUUCUUCUUCCUUCUUCCUUCUUCAGAAGUGGUUAAACAGAGUAUUCUAUUCUCUGGAUACAGACGAUAGAUUUACGCGCUUUUUAAAGGCAGACCUCCUGGUUUACAAGCACUAAUUUUCUGAUCUUAAACUUUUUUUUUUUUAAAAAAAAAAGAGCUUCUGUUUGAACUAAAUCAUGGGCCAAAUGCCCAAAAUUAAAGGAAUAAAAGGUGCUGCUGGGAAGCGUUCUUUAUUUGGAGUGCACCUAGGACGGAGUCCAAGCUCAGACUAUUGUCCCUUCUAAACCUAUCACAAUGAUUCAUACUAUUGGUAUUUCCUACACAAAAGGAACACACUUGAAACAAGUUAGCUAGUGCAAUGAUACGUCUUCCACCAAUGUAACCAUAUUGGAAUCAUUUCCGGCUCCCGAUCUUAUCAAAGCAAUAAGACGUUUGUUCAUACUCGAAAUUUUGAUCCGUUACCAUCUCAUCUCUCUUGCUUUCAUCAAGGCCAAUCUCACAGCUUCAGCUUCAUCUUGAGUCUCCAGUUGUGAGCUUCUCUCCACCAGAGCCCAUUCAGCUCUGAGUAGAUCUCCAUUUAGCUUAGCUACAAUACCAAUUCCUAGCUUGUGGCCCUCUUUUAGAUCUUUUUGUAGCUAUCUGGAGUUCCACUUGCUCCCCUUCCCCACUUCCUUCCACCCGUACCUUUGCAUCUGCUUCACUUGUUUCUAGUGUGCUUUUGGAUUCCUCUCCUUUGCCAGCAUCCUCAUACUCCAACCAUUCUGUGCCAGCUUUUUGAACUAUUCUUAUCCCUUCUGGAUUACUUGGUGCCGUUCGUAGUCGCAGGCUCGCAGCAGCAAAUAUUACUGAUGAAAAUGUUAUCAAUUCUUAAGGGCCCUGAACUUUUAAUUGAGAUUUUUAUUUAGUCCUCAAACUACCAAAAGCUCAACUAAGAAUGACUUCAGGGGUCACGAAAAAAAAGAGUAAUUCUAGAGGGUAGAAACUAGUCUAGCUCAAUUGAGCUAUUCACGAGUUUACUUGGUCAAAAUUCAAACUCAAUAUUUUUUGAGCUCAAGUUGAUAAAUGCAAACUCAAAUUCGAGCAACUCUAAUAGUUCGAUGGGUUUUAGUUCGAACCUAAUACUUGAGAUUCGAAAGCUUGUUGAAUUAAUUUAACUUCAAAUACAUAUCUAGUUUGAGAUGUCUACAUAUAUCAUUGAAUUAAUAUAGUUCGAAAGCUCGUAAAUUGAACUUUUGUUAGUUUGAGAUGCCUACUAAUCCCUUGCGUAAAACUUUAUAAAAUUCUAAUUUACGUCGCUUAAGCUCGAUUGAGAUCAAGUUGGAGCAAGGUAGUAUAAACUUGAGAACAGUUUUUAAGAAUUCAAUAAGAGCUAGCGCUCGAAUUUCAACUCGAAUAUUUUUUCUAUAAUUCGAUUACUUAUUACAUGAGUCACUUUGAUCUAGGGAAUUUCAUUAAAGGGUCUAGUUCACGUUUCGACUGAAAUCCUCUAUCUUAUAACAUCGUAUAUAGUACUAUAUGCUAAUAAAUUUGGCUAAAAACCUAAAGGUAAUGUACCAUGGUCGCAAAAAGAUUAAACCGCUUAAAAUUCCUUAUAAAAUGAAAAAAAAAAUCAAGAUGAUUUUUAUUGGUUGAUACAAUGAUGACACAAAGUCCUUACAUAUUUUGAAGGAUAGGAAACAAAACAUAAACUCGCUUUCAAUUAUAAUUAUCAAUGCUUAUUAUUAACUAGUUAAUGCAGUCCUUUCUACCACAGUGUGUUCUGCGUUCUUAUGCAUAAAGUUUUAUUGAAAAUUCCCGCAUUAAAAGAUUUUAGUAUAUUAAAAAAAAGGGAAGUCCGAUUCUUACCGUGUAGGCGACCUUACGUGAUUGGUACUUAGACGUCAUUGAUGACCAACGCAUCCAAGGAAUCCGUUUCUUCUUGAGCCGGUCAUCGGUCACCCAAUACUACUAUAUAAGUAUCCCAUCACCCUGUCGUUCAUACUGCUACAUUCAACGUCAUCUGCAUCUCCUCUUCUGAAAAACUCUCUCAAAUUCUUCGAUCAAAAGCCUUCCUUCGUUGUUUAGUCUCUCAAGGUAAUUGGUUCUUCUUCUUCGAUUAUUUGCCUUCUUUCUUAUGUGAAAUUGUUUUAUUGAUUGUGUAUGGUGCUUCGAUGAUUCUGAAUAUAUUUCUGGUAUAUUAUUAACCUGGGGCUUCGUCGGAGUUGGAAUUGUAAUUGGAAUUAAUCUUUUGCUUUAUAUCUGAAAACAGCUAUUUUGAUUGCUCUGGUUGAAGGAGAAAAUUUUCCCCUUUUACAUUUUGAAUCUGUCUAUACUCUAGGAUUGUUUUGGUGAUUUACUAGUUUGUUGAUUUGCAGAAUUUAAUAAAAGUUGAAAGCCCUUUUUGGAUAAACAACGGUUGAUUGAGCUUUCGGCCUUUUAAUUAGGGUUGAGGAAUUUAAUUAAGUUCACUUUUAGAUGAGGAUUAAUCCUCUGGUGUUGUAUUCGUUCUAGCAAUUUACGUUCUUGAGGUACUUUUUAUCUACUUUGAUACGUCCUCUUUUUAACCUUCUGUGUGGUUGUUGUUGUUGCAAUUUUGGCUUGAGGAUUUAUUUCACAUAAUCAGAUCUGAUUAGGGUUGGAUUUGUGCUUUCUCUGAUCUUUACAGAUGCAAAUCUUUGUGAAAACACUCACCGGGAAGACCAUCACUCUUGAGGUUGAAAGCUCUGACACAAUUGAUAAUGUUAAAGCCAAGAUCCAAGACAAGGAGGGCAUCCCUCCAGACCAGCAGAGGCUGAUUUUCGCUGGAAAACAGCUCGAGGAUGGACGCACCCUUGCUGACUACAACAUCCAGAAGGAAUCCACCCUUCACUUGGUUCUGCGCUUGAGGGGAGGCAUGCAAAUAUUUGUCAAGACGCUUACCGGAAAAACAAUUACCCUUGAAGUGGAAAGCUCUGACACAAUUGAUAAUGUCAAGGCUAAGAUUCAGGACAAAGAGGGUAUUCCUCCGGACCAGCAAAGGUUGAUUUUUGCUGGAAAACAACUUGAAGAUGGACGUACCCUUGCUGAUUAUAACAUUCAGAAAGAGUCGACCCUUCACUUGGUGCUCAGGUUGAGGGGAGGAAUGCAAAUCUUCGUGAAGACACUCACCGGAAAGACUAUAACCUUGGAGGUUGAGAGCUCGGAUACAAUUGACAAUGUUAAGGCUAAGAUACAGGACAAGGAGGGAAUUCCUCCGGAUCAGCAGAGGUUGAUUUUUGCCGGUAAGCAGCUUGAGGAUGGCAGGACUCUUGCUGACUACAAUAUUCAGAAAGAGUCCACCCUUCAUUUGGUACUCAGGUUAAGGGGUGGAAUGCAGAUUUUUGUUAAGGCUUUGACAGGGAAGACCAUUACUCUUGAGGUGGAAAGUUCAGAUACAAUUGAUAAUGUGAAGGCAAAAAUACAGGACAAAGAGGGCAUUCCCCCAGACCAGCAAAGGUUGAUCUUUGCAGGUAAGCAGCUUGAGGAUGGGCGCACACUUGCGGAUUACAACAUUCAGAAGGAGUCAACCCUUCAUCUCGUGCUCAGGUUGCGAGGAGGAAUGCAAAUUUUUGUUAAGACUCUGACUGGAAAAACCAUCACAUUGGAGGUGGAGAGCUCGGACACCAUUGAUAAUGUGAAGGCUAAGAUCCAGGACAAGGAGGGGAUCCCACCAGACCAGCAGAGGUUGAUAUUUGCUGGGAAACAAUUGGAAGAUGGAAGGACUUUGGCCGAUUACAACAUCCAGAAAGAGUCCACCCUUCACCUUGUUCUGCGUCUGCGUGGUGGCUUCUAAAUGCUCCAUCUGUUUCAGCCCGCUUGGCUGACUUGUGUUUGGUGUUUAUGCCUUGGGCCAAUGGCUUCUUAAAAAGUUUUUAAUUUAGUAUUGUUCCAGGGUUUGCUGGUGGUGUUAUUCCAUGUAUGUAUGUAACGGGAAGUGAUGCCAGUGUUGUUUGUUUUGUUAAUAAAAUUUAGAAUUUUCUAAAUAUUCUUACCCUGGAUUUCUGUUUUGUUUUAAGUAUUUCCCUUGCAUUACGACCUGUGCUUAGCAUUUUUCACAGUUUGACAUGACUGAAUAUACGAGUUUCUUGAGAGCAAUCCACCACAUGCCUGACUCAAGCUCAUUGUUCAUCGCUAUUAAUAUGUUGACUUCAGUUGAUUGGUGGGUUCUGAUCGUUUUUCAUUAUAAAGGACUUUCUGGUUUCAUUAGUGGAUCAGGGUUUAAAGCAUACUGUCCUCAAUAUUCUUCUAAAAAGGGUUCAGUUAGGGGAGGCUGUCAUAGAUGUCCAUCCUUAAAAUUUUCUCAAAACUUAAAAGUAGUUGAUCCUAAUAGACUGUUUAAUUAACAUGUAAAUCUUUCAGUUGAGCAACCCUGGUUCAGAACAUUGUUAAGUGGUUGAAACGUGAAAAGGCAAUAGGAUAGUCAAGAAGUGGUUGAUAACUAGUGAUCUUUUUUUUUUUUUUCUUUAAUAAUCUUCAACCUUAUUUAUUUAUUUGUUUAUUUUGGUUUGAAGUUUUGAAAAGCUUUUGGUGAAACUCUAAAUCAUGGGCGCAAUUGAAGAAUAAAGGUCGGUGGACAAAGAGCAUUAAACCAUUGAAGUUCCUUGAAAAUUGAAGAACAAGAUGCUCUUAUCCACUAACAUAGUUAUGGUGUAAAAUUUAUACAUAUUUGCAAGAAAAAUAAGAAAAAAAAGACACCACCACUUGAUUCGAGUUAUCAAAAGUAUAAUGAAUUACCGAAUUAAGUUUUUGUCAUACAUGAUGGAUAUUGUUUGUCAUGCAUUAAGUUUUCUGUGAUAUUUUACACGCAAGUCAUUCGUCAACAUACGUGUUUUCGUAGAAGGGUAUGAGUGAAACGCUCAAGAGUAUUACUAAUUAAAUUAGUGGGCAUUAAAAGAUCAAGGGGCAAACACACAAGGAGAUUCACAAUCAAGAGGCCAAAUUAGGGAUUUUGACAAAAAGUUAACAUCUUUUUUAAAUUUUAAUACGAUUUACCCCGUGAUUAAAAAAAACAGAAUAUACAAAUAUGGACAAAUCAUGACAUUUUCGAGUGGAAGACAUAAGAAUUUCCUAAAAUUAAGGGACCAUCUUUUAGUUUGUUUGAAAAAUAUCCACCUGCCAAAAGAAUUGAAAAAUUAAGAGUGUGUUUGAAUUGCAUUUUCCGUCAUUUUUCAUGGAAAAAUUACUGUAGCGAUUUGAUAUAUGUGAGGGAAAAAGGUGAUAGGGAAAUGUGAUCACGGAAAACGACAAUAUUUUCCGACAGAAACAAAUAAUCCAAACACACCCUAAGAUAGUUUCAAUCGAGAGGAAUCUCUAAAAUCGAGUAAAAGAAAUUUCUAAAUGAGGUGGAUCAUCUUUUAAUUUUUUUUUUCAUAAGGAAUUCACGUACCAAAAAGUAACGGAAAAUCACCAUAUGUUCUAAGCCAUGGAGAGAUCUUGAAAUUUAAGGAGGAUGUUCAUUUGUUGGGAAAAAGUUAAAGGCAAUUGAUCCUUAUUAUUAUUAAUUUUUUGACAAAAACUUUUGUAGGCUCGAUUGACAGCCAUUUGGCUGUAGAUCGAGUGGUACACUCUACACAAAUUGCCACGUAAUAAAUAUUCAAAAUUUCACAAUUUUUAUUCUUGGCUUAUCCAUAACCUUUCUCACCAAUCUCUAUAUUCUUGGUUUUUUUUUCCAAUGCAAACACAAUUUUCCAAUGCAAACAUUUCUUCCUGCUUUCUUCCGCAAAUUGCAUCUCGCUUUGUAUCAUCUCCAAAUCGAAUUUUUUUUUUAAAAAAAAAAAAAGAAAAAAAUUCCAAACCCCUAAUCAAAUUGAUACUUGACUUUUCUUUUGAUUUAUGGUCAGAUUUGUUUUAAUUGGGUUUUCUUCAAAAUAAAUCGAAAUCCUAACCGUAGGUGCUACGAGAAAGAAGGAAAGAAGACACGAGGAAAACAAAGGCGGUGACUGUAGGUUUGAUGGUUUCAGUGGAUCUAAGAGUGCAGAUUUUGGGGUUGGAAAGGAAAAUGGGUUUCUGAACAAAAGGGGCAAUACGAAUGGCUGUUCAUAUUCCUUGCAGAUGCUGCUUCCUACACCGAAAGAUGGUGAUGGCGGUACCGUGGUAAUAAGGAAAUUGAGAGAGAUGAGUAAGAAUCUGACGGCUGUGAGUCAUCUGACAGGUUGCUUGAACCAUAUCACCAAGUAGCACCGCUAAAAUAUAUAGGAGUCCAAACUUUGGCAAAAGGAGGUGGUCAGCUGCAAAGGCUGAUUUAACAAGGGGCGGGGCCAUUGCAAGAAUAUAUUUUUGUGCAGAUGACGUGGCAAAUCUCAUACCUCUAUGUCUACAGGUGGAUGGCGGAUCGGAAAUGGGGCAGGAGCAAGAACAACCGUUCCUUGCAGUUGAGUUGACGGGAAUGAUUUGAUCAAAAAAUUUUAUGCGAUUCAAAUCACAUUUUAUAACUCGAUUUUUAGAUUGUGUGUGAGACUUACAAAAAUUUGUUUUAAUGUCGUGUGCAAAAAAAUUUAUAUUGUGUGCAAUCAAAAUUAUACACAGUAAAAAAAACACAUAAUCGAUCGAAACGAUUGUACCUGUAACCGUCUGUGCUCCUGUUCACUCAAGUUUUUGCCUUUUUUUUUUCCCCGCUGACUUGUCCUUUUCUUGAGCGUGUUGGGCUCUUGUUUCCGACUUUUCUGGUAUAAUAAUAAUCCUUUUUCUUGUAUUUGUUUAUUUUGUUAGGAAAAUUUUAUAACAAGCAUCCUCACUCACUCAAGAAAAGAACAAGUUAGAGGAAAAAAAAAGAAAGGACCAAUUGCCUUAUAAUAAGCAUCCCCGCUCACUCAAGAAAAGAACAAGUUGGAGGAAAAAAGAGAAAGGACCACUUGCAUUAUAAUAAGCAUCCUCACUCACACAAGAAAAGAACAAGUUAGAGGAAAAAAGAGAAAGGACCAGUUGCCUUAACCCUUUCCCAACAAAAUAAACAAAUAAGAAAAAGGAUUAUUAUACUAGAAAGGUUGGAAACAAGACAACGGUCUUGUUUGGCAAGUAAAUUUUUAGUCAAAUUGAUUUGUUACAAGUAUUUUAAUAAUUUUAUUUACAGUAAUUUUAAAAAAUUUUAAAAUUUUAAAAUUAUAUACUUUAAAAUAUUUAAAAAUUUAUAUACUUUAAAUUUUUUUUAAUAAUUUUUACAAUAAAUUAUAAUAAAAUUUUAAAUAAAUACAUAACAAAAUUCACUUGACAAAUGGGGCAAGAGUCCCGCUCGUUCAAGAAAAGGACUAAAGAAAAGAGGUGGAAAAAGUGGGCUGCCUUAACCGCGUCGGCUGGGUAAGGGUAAGGCAGGCAACUAACAAAUUGGCACGCAGCCAUCAUGACUGACCCAACGCCUCACAGGAACCUGUUCCGUCUGGAGUCGGUCAUCGCUCCUAUAAAUAACCCCGGAUAAUCCUUUUGCUUUAUCAUUCACAUCUUCAUUAUAUAAUCUACAUCUCUUCCUCUAAAACUCUCAUCAAAUCUCCUAUCGAAAGCCGCCUUCCUUCUGUUUCCUCUCGCAAGGUAUUUGCUUUUUCAUCGAUUGUCUUGCUUGCUUCUCGGUUAUGUGAAUUUUUGUUGAUUAUGUAUAUGAUGCUUGACUUUUAGAUGGAUGGUGAAUUAAGGUUGCGGCUGGAGUUGGAAUUUAAAUUAAACUUUCGUUAUAUUUGACGGAUCUGUUCUGAUUUGAUUUGAUUUGAUUUGAUUACUCUGGUUGAACGAGAAAAUUUUCCCCUUCAAUCUUUUGGUUUUGUCUGAUUUGUUUAUUUUGCUGUGAGUUUUUGUUGAUUAUUAGUAAAUUAAGCUGUAAGCCUUUCUUUUUUCCCUAUAGAGGAUAGGAAAAGGUGGAAUUGGUCGAUUUUUUUUUUUUGCCUUGUUUAUUAGGGUUCAGGAAUUUGAUUGAAACCGCUUCUUAUGUUAAGAAUUAACUCUUUGAUUUUGUAGUUGCUAUGCAGAUGUUGGGUUGGGGUAUUUGAGUGAACCAUAAUACCUAUUAUUUGACCCCCUAGUUGGUUUUGAAUUUGGUUCUUCAAGUGAUUUCUUUCUUUUUAUGCAUUUGUUGGUUGAAGAAUAUCUCAUAAUCAAAUCUGAUUAGGUUUGGGUUUGUGCUUAUUUUAAUUCUGACAGAUGCAAAUCUUCGUGAAAACCCUUACCGGGAAGACCAUCACUCUUGAAGUUGAAAGCUCCGACACAAUUGAUAAUGUGAAAGCCAAGAUUCAGGACAAGGAGGGCAUCCCUCCGGACCAGCAAAGGCUGAUAUUUGCUGGAAAACAGCUGGAGGAUGGACGCACCCUUGCCGACUACAACAUUCAGAAGGAAUCCACCCUUCAUUUGGUUCUGCGCCUGAGGGGAGGGAUGCAGAUCUUUGUAAAGACCCUUACCGGAAAAACAAUUACCCUCGAAGUUGAAAGCUCUGAUACAAUUGAUAAUGUCAAGGCUAAGAUUCAGGACAAAGAGGGUAUUCCCCCAGACCAGCAGAGGUUGAUUUUUGCUGGAAAACAACUUGAAGAUGGCCGCACCCUUGCUGAUUAUAACAUUCAGAAGGAGUCGACCCUUCACUUGGUGCUUAGGCUGAGGGGAGGGAUGCAAAUUUUCGUGAAGACCCUCACUGGAAAGACUAUCACUUUGGAGGUUGAGAGCUCAGAUACAAUCGACAACGUGAAAGCUAAGAUCCAGGAUAAGGAGGGAAUCCCUCCGGAUCAGCAGAGGCUGAUCUUUGCUGGCAAGCAGCUUGAAGAUGGCAGGACUCUUGCUGACUAUAAUAUUCAGAAAGAGUCAACUCUUCAUUUAGUGCUGAGAUUGAGGGGUGGAAUGCAGAUUUUUGUCAAGACUUUGACAGGGAAGACCAUAACUCUUGAGGUGGAGAGUUCAGAUACUAUAGAUAAUGUGAAGGCAAAAAUUCAGGACAAGGAGGGCAUCCCACCAGACCAGCAAAGGUUGAUCUUUGCUGGUAAGCAGCUUGAGGAUGGCCGGACCCUUGCAGAUUACAACAUCCAGAAGGAAUCAACCCUUCAUCUGGUGCUCAGGUUGCGAGGAGGAAUGCAAAUUUUUGUCAAGACUCUGACUGGAAAGACCAUCACUUUGGAGGUGGAGAGCUCAGAUACGAUUGAUAACGUCAAGGCUAAGAUCCAGGACAAGGAGGGGAUCCCACCUGACCAGCAGAGAUUGAUCUUUGCUGGUAAACAGUUGGAAGAUGGAAGGACUUUGGCAGAUUAUAACAUCCAGAAAGAGUCCACCCUUCACCUUGUCCUGCGUCUGCGUGGUGGUUUCUGAGUGCUGCAUCUAUAUGCAGUUGAAGGCUGUCUCUUGAAGUUGGUAGUCUUUUGUGUUUGUCUGCUUGAUUUCUGUCCGUGUCCAAGCCAUGGGCCCUAAUAGCUUCCUAAG
rnacentral:lncRNA from 1 species